CAGAUUUCUUCCCGCGAUUCGGACCCAAGCGGCAGGCCAACUUCUCUCUGUUCGCGUGGGGUGAGCGAGCAGAACGACCGAGGGAGAGAGAGUGAGAGGAGGAGCGGACGAGAGCGAGAGAGGAGUCCUCCUCUCUGUCCUCUUCGGCAUCGUCGCAGCGUCGUCGCCUUUUGAUUCCGAGCGACUUCGGUUUAGGCCUGUGGUUCCAGCUCAACAAAUGCAUCAGUUCAUCCCAGCAGCCUCUCAGCAUUCCGACCUGUUGGACAAGGUGUUCAUGGUUCAAAUUUUGGAAUGCCUUCUAAUCAAAGUCAACAACCUGCACACCAUUUACCUCCAAGAUCAGGCCCAGCAACAUCACAGUCUUCACAAGCAAUUCCAAUGCCAUAUGUUCUGCCAAGCAGGCCUAUGACAUCUGGGACACUGCAGCCCCAGCAAAAUCCUCAGAUGCCUAACAGUCAUCUGCCUAAUUUAGGUGGCUUAAGAAUGCCUCUUUCUUCAUCUUAUACAUUUACGAUGUCUUAUGGCCAGCCACAACAUACUAUCAAUAUCCCAUCCCAAUAUCAACCAGCAUCCCAGGUGCAAGCACCCAUUACACCUGCAGUCGGACAACCUUGGUCUACACCUGGGACUCAGAAUGUACCUCUUGUUACACCUUUAGUGCAGGUUGCUGCACAAUCUUCAGCUGUGGCAGGCACAGUUGCUCUUUCUUCUCUCCUUCUGAAAAAUCGAGACAACAAAUGCACAACCUAGCUCUGCUGAACAGGCCUUUUCUGAUUGGCAAGUGCACACAUCUGAUGAUGGAAAAAGUAUAUUUUUAAUGGACAUUCAUACUUCCAUGGCAUUCUUUUCCUUCCGGCGUUUUCAGAUCUCGCAUUCUUUUGCUUUUGGCUUUUGGUUUUAUUAUAAAUACAUUAUUACAAUAAGAAGACCAGACAGUCUAGCUAGGAGAAGCCCUUUGAGUUGAUGACACCUAUUGAGAUGUCUUUUGGCACGUCUGGAGCAAAAAAAUGACUGCUCUAUAUGGUCAUUUUGAAGACGGGGUUUCAGUUUUCUCAAGGCAGCCAAUGAUUGCUGAAUUCUUUCUUACAUCAAGGGGCCUGCCGUUUUGUAAUUUUAGUGGUGAGGGCUGAUUCUUCAACUGAUUGGUAGGAAUUCACCACUCCAGAUGGACGAAUAUACUAUUAUAACAAGGUCACAAACGUAUCCAAAUGGAUCAUUCCUGCAGAGCUCAAGUUAGCUUGUGAACAAGCAUUAAGGGCUGCUGCUCAGCAGGCAUGUACAGAAACUGGAGCAGCUUCUGUUGCCCCAGCUGCUCCAACUGUUUCGUCUUGGGAGAUCCCUCCUACAGCUUCUGUUACUCCUGGAGCAACAUCUGCAGUAGUAUGAAGCCCAGUUUCAGUGGCAGCCAAUGCUAUUAUACCUCCCGGUGUGAUGCCUUCAGUAUCAUCAUCUGUUGCUGUUGUACUGUCUGCUGGAAUCCCUUCUAGUUCCUCUUUGGGAAUUCUAAACAAAGUUGGCGCAUCAAAUCUUCAGACACCUGUAACUCCAUUACUGGCACCUGUUCCUGCAAAUACAGUGGUUCCUACUGUUGCAAUAGAAGCUUCAUCAUCUAACACAAAGAGUAAUCAUGACAAUUCCUCUCAUGUAAAUAUUGCAAGUUUGCCUGAUGGAGCUUCUGCUCAGGAUUUGGAGGAAGCGAAAAAGGGUAUGCAAGUUACUGGAAGAAGCAAUGCCACUCCAUUGGAGGAGAAAACAGUUGAUGAAGAACCUUUGUUUAUGCUAAUAAGCAGGAGGCAAAAAAUGCAUUCAAAGCCCUACUGGAAUCUGCAAAUGUUGAAGCUGAUUGGACUUGGGAGCAGGCAAUGAGAGUUAUUAUUAGUAACAAGAGAUACAGCGCAUUAAAGACACUUGGUGAGAGGAAACAAGCAUUUAAUGAGUUGAUUUCUCUUCACUUUAUCCCAGUACUUGGGGCGAAGGAAAAAACAGGAAGCUGAGGAAGGCACAUUAAACAGAAGAAAGCACGAGAAGACUUCACCCAAAUGUUGGAAGAAUGUAAAGAACUUACUUCGUCAACCUGGUGGAGAGCUGUAGCCAUGGUUGAGAGUGAUGAACGGUUUAAUGCUGUUGAGCGGGCAAGAGAUCAUGAGGAUCUUUUUGAAAGCUAUUUGGUGGAUCUCCAGAAGUUUAAGAAUCAUGUGCCAGGUCACUGAGGCAAGAGAUUUCCACAUUUAAUGUGGUGAUGGGAUGCGUGCAUCUUACUGGUUCAAGACAUGCCUUCCAGCAUGCUGUUCCAUCUAUUAUCAUUUCCUUGCUCUAUUCACCCUUGAUAAUAUUUAGAGGGUACCUGACAACCAUUUGUCUUGAUCCCAAAUCCUCGGAUGGUUAUGAGCUCCUUUGAGGUGAUUUUCUCAGGCCACAAGAUAUCGCCAUUUGCUUCAGCAAAGUUUUGAGCUCCAUCCCAUGGUUGGUGGUAAAACUCUAGUAUUUUGUGUGGCAAUGCUGGUGCUUUAAGUUCCAUUCUGAUAGCCUUUGUAUGGUCUAUAUUGCCAAGCUCUUGGAGGCGUGAUACAUCUGGCUUAUCAGGUGGAGCUUUCAGUUGCUCAUAGUUUCCAUAAUGUCACCUAUAUCUAUAUGCCCUGGUGGGAUCCAGAGUUCUGUAUAGCUACUUCAACUGUUUUGCAUUGUUUCUUAUAUAUGGUCAAUGUGUUCAGUUUUACUAAUUCUGAUAUAGAUGAAGAGAUGAGUAGGAUACUGAACUAAUUCUUUAUUUAUUUAUUUAUUUGCAUUUAGCCAAA